GGGAGAGGGGAAGGGAAAGGGGGCGGGGUCACUCAGUGUCAACAACUCAGACGAAUUUCUAAACCUAUGUAUGUAUCAGGUAUUUGACAUCGGCUGUGUCCAAAUUCAGGUUCUGCAUCCUCCCGAGCCCGUUGCCUUCGCGAUCUCCGAUGUCCGUGUCCUUCGUUAGCGGGUAUACCGGAUGUUAAGUGCUGUGAAUUUGGACGGUCUAGCCUUGUUUUUUUUUUUUUUUUUUUUAUAACUUUAUUGAACAAACAAAACAACGAAAGCUGUUUUAACUUUGCUAGCUAGUUUCCUGUAGCCUGGCCACCGUGAGUUGAACGUGUUGUGAAUCAUUUAGCUCGAAAUGAUUGAGUUUUUUUUAAUUUAAAUUCUACUUUUGGAGGAGUUGGAGCAGAUCCAUUGCUACCACCGGCACUUGUUGGUGUUUUUCCGGCGGAGACAAAACGAUCUGCAGACUAGACUCCUGUAAUGCAGAAUCAAUCCAGGAGCUGUUUGUCCAACAGUGAAGACCCAAGACCAGACUUCAUAGUGAAGAGGAACUCUCCUGGAGUCUUCCUGAACCUCCUUGAUCAGGAUCUGUGAAUCGAUCAUCCUCCUGCAGGUGCUGGAGCUGCAUCACACCUCUGUACCUCAUGUUGUCACAGCAUGUGCCAUCCUCCACAACAUCUGCCUCUGUGUUGACGACACCGAGGCCCCAGAGGAAGAUGUGGAGAAGGACGCUGGUUUGGAGAUCACAGUGAUGCUCUCUGGCAGGACCAACUACCGGCUGAGGUUUCUGCCCUGGGGGAGGUACCACCUUGAUUACUGGUAACAGCAUCCAUCGACAGCCAGCCCUGCAAACCCUGAAGAUGGACGAUGCAGUCUACAGUGAAGAUGAUCCUGAAACUCUGCAGACCACAUUGCAAGAUGUUCAAUCAUCACCCAGAAAGUUCCAGCCCGGGUCUCAGUUGAAGCCCCCCCCAUCCAUGUCGACUUAUGUAUUUUAUCUUUUGUGAAGCACUUUGUGAGUGGUCCUCUGUGAAAAGUGCUAUAUAAAUAAAGAUUUACUUACUUACUUACUUUGUAAAUAGUUGGAAAUAAAAGUUACAAUUAAUCCAUGACAAUCACUGUGUUUGAUUUAGAUCUUUAUUUAAAUUAACAAAACAAAAACAAACAUGUUUAAUAUAUCAAACAUAAACUUCAUUUAUUUAUUAUCAGACAUCUAAGGAUUUUAACAGCAAUUCUUUCCAGCAGACUAAAGUUGGUCAAAAGUUACCCUCCUCUCUCGUGCGCUCUGCUCUUCUGCCUGAUGUCCUCUGCUCAGGUCUAGAAGCUCAUCACUGUUUCUCCUUCCUUCUCUUUCUUCACUCUCCUCUCUUUCACCCACUGCUGUACUUCUCCAGCAGAUCCAUUUUCUC